rnacentral:RNase_P_RNA from 2 species
UUGACGACUUGUUCUAUCGCUGCGACAAAUUUGUCGGAGAGGAAAGUCGGGACAACAUAGAGCGCCAUACUUCCUAACGGGAAGGGUUCGUUUGUAACGAAUACAGAAAGUGCCACAGAAAAUUACCGCUCUGAGCUUGUCGAAGAGUAAGGGUGAAAAUGUGAGGUAAGAGCUCACGCAACAUUGUGGUGACACAUUGUUGGGGUAAACCUUAUGGGUUGAAAUGCCAAAUAUACCGGAGUUCUCUUUGAGAUAAAAACUGCUCGUUUGAUUCCGGGGGGUAGGCAGAUUGAGGUGCAAGGUGACUUGCAUCCUAGAUUAAUGAUAGAACUCGACAGAAUCCCGCUUAUAAAGUCGUUGUAAUU